rnacentral:rRNA from 1 species
UUAAAGCACUUUAGGUUGGGAAGAAGACAUCUAGUUUAAGAGAUGAGAUGUUUGACGGUACCGACAGAAUAAGCACCGGCUAACUCUGUGC